ACAUUGCAGAAGAUAGGGUACAAAGAAUAUAAAAGCUGCCUAGAACAUGGCCUUUGGACAUGACUCGGACACCGUACUCCUGAGCUCACAGUGGCUGUACCUGCACAAGAUCAAGGCAGUUGACACUCCAGUACAGUUAUUAUGAAUGACUGACUGUUUAAAAGCUCAGUGAGAUGGCUCAGCAAGUCAAAAUGCCUGUGUCUAAGCCUCAUGACUAGAGUCCACUUCAGGGGAUCCACAUGGUGUAUGAAGAACCAACUCUUGAGGUAGCACUGUUCCCAGUUGUCUGAGAAAACGCCAGGUUGAGUUCGAGGCUCUUCACCUUUUUCUUCCAACAGAUUUAGUGUGUCUGGUUUUAUGCUGGGCUCUUUGAAUGGCAAACAGGAUAGACGCCAGAAGUGGUAAAAAAGAGGAAACCAGAUGGGAGCCUACUAUAGAGAGUCCUCUGAAAUGAUUCACCCAACAGCGGAUCAAAGAAGAUGCUGAGACUCACGGCCACUCUUUUGGGCAGAGCAUAGGGAGUCUUAUGGAGGAAGAGAGGGGUGGGAAUGGCGGGAAUGGAGGGGACAGGAGCCUCACAAGGAGACUAACAAAACUAAAAGAUCUGUGCCCAGGGGGUCCUAUAGAGACUGACUCACCAACAGAGAACCAUGCAUGGAGAAGACCUAGACCCCCUGCUCAGAUAUGGCUGCUUGGCAGCUCAGCCUCCAUGUGGAUCUCUGAGGGAAGGGAGCAGAGGCUGCUUCUAUCAUGAACUCAGUUGACUGCUCUCUGAUGAUGCAGCCUUGCCAGGCCACCGAGGAAAAGGAUCCAAGCAGUCCUGAUGAGACUUAACAGGCUAUGGGUAGAUGACAAUAGUGGAAAACUCCCCCUUUCACUGGACUAAGAAGAGGAUGGGGGGAAAAGGGAGGGAGGGUGGUCCUGGGGGAGUUGAGGGAGAGACCUUCAAUUGGGAUAUAUAACGAAAACUUUGUGAAAAAAAAAAUAAAAAUAAGAAGAACCAA